UAUUCUUAGUGAGCAUUGCUCACAGUACCUCUUGUUUUAACAGGUUUUUUUUUUUUUUACAAUAACUAUCGGAAAAGACUAACAAAAUUUAUGUUCCUAUCAUGCAUAAAUCUAAAUAAAUCAUUGAUUUUGCAAAAUCUGAUGACAUUAUAGGAGGGUGGAAUUACUUUAAGUUAUGUUUAGUGCUGUGUGUAUAUAAACAUGCACUCAUAUAAUUAUAUCUUCCCUCUUCCAGGGGGAGACAUAUUGUAUUUGUACUUUCUGUCCGUCCUUCCUUCUGUCACAAAAUCUUGUGAACGCUUCUCCACCUAUAUGGCUUAUCAGAUAGACUUGAAACUUUGUACAAUGCUUCAUUGUCAUUUGCAGAUGUGAAUAUUGUUGGGACGGGAGGAUCCAAUUGUUUUCCUAAGAGUUAUAGUGGAUCUAAGAGGGGUGGAAGAUGUAAAAUAGCUUAUGAACUCUUCUCCUCCCAUAUGGCUUAUUGGAUAGACUUGAAACUUUGUACAAUGCUUAAUUGUCAUUUGUAGAUGUGCAUAUUGUCGGAAUGAGAGGAUCCAAAGUUUUUCCUAAAAGAUAUAGUGGAUCUAAAAGGGGUGGAGGAUGUUAAAAUACCUUGUGAACACUUCUCCUAUAUGGCUUAUCUGAUAGACUUGAGAAUUUGUACAAUGCUUCAAUGCCAUUUGUAGAUGUGCAAGUUGUAGGGACAGGAGGAUCCAAUUGCUAUCCUUAAAGUUAAAGUGGAUCUGAGGGGUGUAGGGUAUAAAAUAGUUUGUGAACGCUUCUCCUCCUAUAUGGCUUAUCAGAGUUCAUGUCUAUCUUCCUGCCCAUGCUUUCUCCUCCAUACUAUUCAAUACAUUAAGGGGGAUGUUUCCUAUAUUUUACGAAUUAAUUGGUUGAUUGACAACAAACUUGGUACACUUGUACAGCAUAUAUAAGGAGUAGAUGACCCCUAUUGAUUCUUAGGUCACAUGGUCAGUCCACUCUUGACAUAGGAAGAUAUUGUCUGCUCAAUAUUUUGAAUUGGUGAUACUACUAUCAAUUAAAUGAGGCACGGGUAUAACCCUUUCAAUUUUGCAACUUGGGGGGCAUAUGUGUUUUAGAAACAUCUCUUGUGUUGUAUUAUAUGAAUUACAGGUUUUAGUGUGCUCAGUUUAGAGAAUAGCAUAAAAGUAUUUGAUAAUUAAAUAUCUUGCAGAUUGGCAGUUUACUCCAUGCACCGACAGGAAUGAUAAACUGUGAUAUUCGUAAAUGGAACUGGGACACGUUCUAAAUAUACUCAGGGACAGAAUGAUGUGCAGCAAGGCUCGUCAUGGAAUGGCAGCUCACUACCUGCCCCUAGUGAUGUUAAAAGAGGCCAUUGUUCUCAUUUGUUCCAAAACAGGAAUGGCAUAUGAGGAGGCCAACAGAAGAUGCACCUCCACUGAGUGUGCACUCACAAAACGAAUAAAUUAUUAUUAUUUCUUU